rnacentral:rRNA from 1 species
UGGGGAAUAUUGGACAAUGGGCGCAAGCCUGAUCCAGCAACGCCGCGUGGAGGAUGAAGGUCUUCGGAUCGUAAACUCCUGUCAGACGGGACGAAGGCGGCCGGGUGAACAAUCCGGCUGCUUGACGGUACCGUCAGAGGAAGCCCCGGCUAACUCCGUGCCAGCAGCCGCGGUAAUACGGAGGGGGCUAGCGUUAUUCGGAAUUAUUGGGCGUAAAGGGCGCGUAGGCGGCUUGAUAAGUCAAAGGUGAAAUCCCUCGGCUCAACUGAGGAACUGCCUUUGAAACUAUCGAGCUUGAGGCCGGGAGGGGGUAGCGGAAUUCCCAGUGUAGCGGUGAAAUGCGUAGAUACUGGGAGGAACACCGGUGGCGAAGGCGGCUACCUGGACCGGUUCUGACGCUGAGGCGCGAAAGCGUGGGUAGCAAACAG